AGCAUAGCAACAGCAGCGUAGCUGAACAUCUUACGGAUGGCCCAGGGCUCCAAAGGCUCGUUUCCUAAGUGAGAGAGAGCCUGGCUGAAGCUGUAUUACCAUUCAUUCUCCAGCCUCCGAAGUCUCAAAGCAUCACUUCCACCAUACUCUAACUGUCAAGACAAACACAAAGGCCCAGAAACUGCCAGACUGUCUUCUGAAGUGGCUAUAAUAUUUACACUCCCAUCAGCAGUGUAGAAGGGGUCUCACUAUGUUGUCUGGAGUGCUGUGGUGGAGUGGAGUGGCUAUUCACAGAGCCUGUUCUGCUGGGACACAGAAUCACUUGCUCCAUCUCAUACAUUGAUGAUGAUUAAUUUGUAUGUGUACCUUCCAAAAAAGAUGGUUGUGUUUGAAUGGAGGCCUUCUGGACAGGAAAAUGUUCAAUCCUGCUGAUGCUCUCCAUGGAGAUGGUCAGCAAGUGCAAAGUACAAUUAACAUUUGAGUCUGUCUGAGUCAUGAAGAAAUGGAGAUUACUGAAAAUAAUUCAUUUUGGUAUCUUCUUACAUCCUGAGAGACUAAUCUUUCCAAGUUCAUCUGAGGCUCCUCUUCUCCAUGACAACCUCAUCCAGGGAUUUCUUCCUGUCCUGGUGUUUUAUGACAUGUGGAAGGGGACUGUAGCAGGUGAUCUCCAAAGUCUCUGGAGACUUACUAAUGUGCAUCCUCAUCUCGCUUGUAAGGAUAAUAGCCUUCCUCCAAACCUCACACACUUUUGGAGGAGAUCACUUUUUUUAAAGUGCAUGGAAAUGUUUUGAAACAGUGAAAUCUAUAAUGAUAGGUUUCAUAAUUCUAACAUCCACACCAUAUGAAUCACAUCCUUCCUGAGAUAAUGAGCACACAAUUGCCUGGAUACCUGAAGGAAUGGAGACAGCGGCAGAAAACACUGCAGAGAGGUGGAAACAUCCGUUAAUAUUUUAAAAUCCCAUUACUGCUACCAACAAUAAUAAUGGAUGCAUAGAAAUAGAUCUGGAUUAGCUGAGCUUGAAACAGUCCAUCUCACACACACACAAAAGAAUUUCAGAUACAGUGAACCCACAUGUUGAAGCUUUCUAGUAUAAUAAAAAUUUCAACUGUUCUGUUGAAUCAUCUGCCUGAUUGGAGGCUACAGAAAAGAUGUCAUCUUAGGAGUGCUUGCUCUGAGUGAGGCUCAUCUUCAAAUCUGAAUGACCACAAGGAGAUUUGAUUAUACAUGUGAACACCUCAGAAGGCACAGCCCACCCAGAAGGCAGACAGGUCAGGCUGCUUUUUCUUCAUUGCUUGGAUUCAAUCCUCCGGGCGGCUCAGGCUCAAACAUAACUUAAGCAUGAUUAAACUUUAGAAGAAGCUGCCAGGAAGACUGUGAAAUCUUCAUGCCCAAGGAUCCCUAAAAUUAGGAGCAACAACCACUUGGCUCAGACGGUUUAUGGAGGCAAAGGUUUGGAUGGGAUUAGAGAUUUCUAAAUGUGAGUUCGUGUCCUCUGCCAGACCACCUUACUUCCACCAUUCCUCAGCAAAUCAAGAAAAACAGGAGAAAAGACAUGCCUUUCCAUAAGUUAAAUCUAUUCUGUUUUAAUUCUAUAUUAUAUCUGCUGUACAACUUCUUUUGUUUGUAACACCAUAUUGUUGCUAGUAACUGGAAAUUAAUUUUCACAUGCCUCAGCUUAGAAAAAUAAAAAGCAGCCCUGCAUCAAUCCCAA
rnacentral:lncRNA from 1 species